GAGUUUGAUCCUGGCUCAGAUUGAACGCUGGCGGCAUGCCUUACACAUGCAAGUCGAACGGUAACAGGUCUUCGGAUGCUGACGAGUGGCGAACGGGUGAGUAAUACAUCGGAACGUGCCCGAUCGUGGGGGGAUAACGGAGCGAAAGCUUUGCUAAUACCGCAUACGAUCUACGGAUGAAAGCAGGGGACCGCAAGGCCUUGCGCGGACGGAGCGGCCGAUGGCAGAUUAGGUAGUUGGUGGGAUAAAAGCUUACCAAGCCGACGAUCUGUAGCUGGUCUGAGAGGACGACCAGCCACACUGGGACUGAGACACGGCCCAGACUCCUACGGGAGGCAGCAGUGGGGAAUUUUGGACAAUGGGCGAAAGCCUGAUCCAGCCAUGCCGCGUGCAGGAUGAAGGCC
rnacentral:rRNA from 1 species